rnacentral:rRNA from 1 species
CCUACGGGCGGCAGCAGUCGAGAAUCAUUCACAAUGGAGGAAACCCUGAUGGUGCGACGCCGCGUGGGGGAAUGAAGGUCUUUGGAUUGUAAACCCCUGUCAUGUGGGAGCAAAUGAAAAAGAUAGUAUCACAAGAGGAAGAGACGGCUAACUCUGGGCCAGCAGCCGCGGUAAUACAGAGGUCACAAGAGGGGUGCGGAAUCACUGGGCGUAAAGCGUGUGUAGGGUGUUUCGUAAGUCGUGUGUGAAAGGCGCGGGCUGAACCCGCGGACGGCACAUUAGACUGCGAGACUAGAGUAAUGGAGGGGGAACCGGAAUUAUGGGUGUAGGAGAGA